GUGCUCACUUCAGCAGUACAUAUAUUAAGACUGGAACAAUACAGAAAAGGUUAAACAUGGCUCCUGACAACUGAGAUGCAAAUUUGUGAAAUAUUCCAUGUUUUU